GCUCGUUUGACCACGUGUUCGGGUCCUGGGAAACCCGGGAAGCCGCCGCAGCUCUCGCGCCCUCAGGUCCAGUGGACAGCGCGGAGGGGCUCCCAGGGCCGGAGAGGUUGGUCUCACUGGAACUGCUGGGCAGUGAGCUCCUGGGAUUAGCGAGCUCCUGGGAUUAGCGUGUCUGCAUCUCAGUGCUGAAUUACGGGCUCCCACUCCCACAUGACCGAGCUAUCUCCCCAGCAUGUCCUGCACCUUCAAAACAACCACUUGUAUUUGGG